AGCGAACGCUGGCGGUAGGCCUAACACAUGCAAGUCGAACGGCAGCACAGUAAGAGCUUGCUCUUACGGGUGGCGAGUGGCGGACGGGUGAGGAAUACAUCGGAAUCUACUUUUUCGUGGGGGAUAACGUAGGGAAACUUACGAUAAUACCGCAUACGACCUACGGGUGAAAGCAGGGGAUCUUCGGACCUUGCGCGAUUGAAUGAGCCGCUGUGGGAGUAGCUAGUUGGCGGGGUAAAGGCCCACCAAGGCGACGAUAGGUAGCUGGUCUGAGAGGAGGGUCGGCCGCACUGGAGCGGAGACGGGGUCCAGGGUCCUGCGGGAGGGAGCAGUGGGGAAUGUGGGGCAAUGGUGGCGAGCCUGAUCCAGCCAUAGCGCGUGGGUGAAGAAGGCCUUCGGGUUGUGAAGCCCUUUUGUUGGGAGAGAAAAGCAGCAGGUUAAUACCCCGCGGUUCUGACGGUACCCAAAGAAGAAGCACCGGCUAACUUCGUG
rnacentral:rRNA from 1 species